GUCCUGGGAUCCAGCUUGAAGGCUUAGGGGCUGAAGACAACCAGUGAGCAAGAAUUCAGCCUCUAGGAUCUAGAGGACACAGGAUAGUCACCCAGCUUGCAGGGGUGAAGGCAGUAAGUAGGAGCAUUCUGAGUAACCAGGAACCGAAAUAUUGGGAACUGCCCCAAAGAGAAGCAGAUGCUCGACUUUCACAUCUACCAUCUCAUGUGACCCGACCCCCACCUUAAAUUUCUGGGUAAGAGUGAGAGUUCACAGCUCCAAACUGCGCCUUACAGAGCAGGUGGCAUUUUAGGAACGUUAUCCGGUGCACGGAUCUGUUAGUUAACCUCCUAGCAGGGUUUGGGGCAGACCCAGUAAUCAAGUCCAUUUGCAUUUUUGUAUGAAAACAUGAAUAUUCACGAUGAAGAGACAAACAACGACCUCAGCUAAGAAACCAUUUGAACUCUACGCAACCGUGACCUCCCUCCCGACCUACCUGCUUGGGUCUCUCCUCCCGCGGAGGGCAGCGCACGUCCGGGAUGGCCUCAUAAACGUUCUCCGAGUCGCUGCGCGCCAGGGGCCGCGGGCAAACCCAGGAGCCCGCUACGCUGGAGGCCUUGAAGCGGCCCGCGCUGCCCAGGAGGCCGGCAGAGGGCGCGGUGCCGCCGCGCGCCAAGUCGUCCAGGGACUGUGCCGGUCGCACCGGCGCUGCGGGUCGCAUGUACAGGCAGGCGGGACCUCCCGGCGCCAGGCUGCUGCGCUGGCCUCCGACGCGCUGUCGCGCAGGGCCACAUAGGGAGCUGGCGCGGCCCCGGGGCUCGGUGGAGGACCCUUCGGCACCCACUGGGGAGCUCACGAAGCGGUAGUCAUAGGCCAGAGGCUCCGGGAUUGCCGGGCGCGGCUGCGGCACGGAAGGCUGCGGGGCCGGGGCAGGGUCGCCGAGUGCGGGCAGCUCGCGCACGUACUGCGCGGGGAGGUAGAAGGGGCGACCCCCAGGCUCGCGCCGCACGUGCCACCAGUGCUCUGUGCUGCGGCGCAACAGUCGGUAACGCUCGUUGGGCUGGAUGGCGAUGCGGCGCCCGUCUUUGCCGGUGUACUCGAAGGGGUGCUCCACCAGCACGUACACGUCCCCUUCGACGUCCGCCGCCAUCGCGGCCACCGCGCUUUCCUGCGGGUAACAAGAAGAGGAGCCGCCGAAGUCAGGACCGUGCAGCCGGAUAGAGCGCCGCGCCUGGGGCUCAAAGACAAGGGUUCGAGUCCCUCUUCUGCCCUUGCCCAGUGCAUCCGGGCUUCAGUUUUUCCAUCUCUGAAAUGGGGACUUGGAUAAAAUCAUCUCCAAAGCUCCCAUUCCUUAAGGCUCCAUUCUGUGACGUUGGUUGUGAGAUGUGUGUCUCGCUGCGAUCCCACGGUGAGGAUAUUGAGGGCGGUAGGAACUCAACUUUACUCUCCGGGAAACCUUGGCUCAUAGACCUGCGGGGACUGCAAGUGGCGUCGCCGCACACGUGAACCAGGAGUCCGGCCCGCCCAGCGGGGCCAGCACCGCCCCCUGCACUCCAGCUCCCCAAGGCAGCUUCCAACCGAGGAGGCUUCCUGGUGUGCGUACCUGAAUAGGGUUCCCUACACUGCCUGCCUGCCUGCCCGGGAGUGUAGCUCCUGAAGAAUGCAUUGCGAUAGCAUCACCAGGGUCCCCUAAAGUUCUUUGGAGUGAUUAUUACAAAGCCACCCUACCCCCA